rnacentral:rRNA from 1 species
GACGAACGCUGGCGGCGUGCCUAAUACAUGCAAGUCGAGCGGACAGAAGGGAGCUUGCUCCCGGAAGUUAGCGGCGGACGGGUGAGUAACACGUGGGCAACCUACCCUGUAGAUCGGGAUAACAUCGAGAAACCGGUGCUAAUACCGGAUAAUCAUUUGAAGUCAAUGCUUCGGUGGUAAAAGUUGGCUCCGGAUAUCACUCCGGGAUGGCCCCGGGGCGCAUUAGCUAGUUGGUAAGGUAAUGGCUUACCAAGGCAACGAUGCGUAGCCGACCUGAGAGGGUGAUCGGCCACACUGGGACUGAGACACGGCCCAGACUCCUACGGGAGGCAGCAGUAGGGAAUCUUCCGCAAUGGACGAAGGUCUGACGGAGCAACGCCGCGUGAGUGAUGAAGGUUUUCGGAUCGUAAAGCUCUGUUGUUAGGGAAGAACAAGUGCCGUUUGAAUAAGGCGGCACCUUGACGGUACCUAACCAGAAAGCCACGGCUAACUACGUGCCAGCCGCCGCAGUAACAC